CAAGGAUCUCUCAAAGAUGCUGGAACAAACACAAUCCACACCCAUCAAACUCUCCACCUCCCAUGAUAUAGCGCCACGUGUCACCCCAUUUUUCCAUCAAACUCUCAACUCUUAUGGGGUUUAAGACUAUCUUUGCCUAUUUAUAGGCAAUCUUUGCCGACAUCACCAAGAAGUCCACCGACUUGGUUUAUUUUACUCCAGCCACAAGUGUGUGGCUUCAUCUAGAAUAUUCUAUAUUGUACAAUAUUAUUUUUGUGGCUAUUGUUUAGCCAUCAUGCUCCACCGCCUUGUUCUUUUCUCCACCCACAAGUGUGUGGCUUCAUCUAGAAUAUUCUUUGCAUAUUUUUGUGUGUGUUGCCGACAUUCCAUCAUCUAGUUUGUAGUUUCUUGAGUUUUCUAGAACUGUGUAGUUACAUCUACACAAAUAUGCAUUGCUUUUUCAACAUCCAUGUAUAUAUGUGUGUAAUCUUCAGCUUGGAUGAGUUAAAACAUAAAUAAAAAGGAAAAUUCACUAUUAUACUUAA